rnacentral:rRNA from 1 species
CCUACGGGUGGCAGCAGUGGGGAAUAUUGCACAAUGGGGGAAACCCUGAUGCAGCGACGCCGCGUGAAGGAAGAAGUAUUUCGGUAUGUAAACUUCUAUCAGCAGGGAAGAAAAUGACGGUACCUGACUAAGAAGCCCCGGCUAACUACGUCCCAGCAGCCGCGGUAAUACGUAGGGGGCAAGCGUUCUCCGGAUGUACUGGGUGUAAAGGGAGCGUAGGCGGGACAGCAAGUCAGAAGUGAAAGCCCGGGGCUCAACGCCGGGACUGCUUUUGAAACUGUUGAGCUAGAUGGCGGGAGAGGUAGGGGGAAGUCCGGGUGUAGGGGUGAAAGGCGGAGAUAGUAGGAGGAACAGCAGGGGCGAGGGCG